GAUUAACCAAACUUCCCAGGGAGUUUCAACAAAUUAACCAGAUUUUGGUAAGAUAAUGAAUGAUGCAUCGAAAACUCUAACCAGCAAAAACAUUAUGUCAUCAUUACGGAUAAUAGAUUUAAAAUGACCAAGAUUAGGAUUAAACAGCACUUAAAAACACUGAUCAGAAGAAAUUGGAGAUCUACUGUCGGCUGUUUUCAGUAUCUUGACCUCCCUCCUCUUCCACGGCCACGUCCAUAUCCACCUCCUCUUCCUCCACCAUUAGCAUGAUGUUUUGUUUGCAUGUUUGCCGGAAGGGGUUGAAUCUGAUCAACACACUUCCUAAAGCUAAAAUCAUCCACAGUAUCGUCCUCCCUAACAAGAAAGAAGCAGCGACUCUUGUAUUGUGGAUGAAAUCGGAUUUGGAAAGCACGAACUCCUGAACCAAUCUUCCUUUCUGAUUCUGAAUGACCCUUCUUAAGUAAGUCGAGCAAUAUCAUAUGCUCAUACUUGUUGAGAUUGAGAUUGACAGACCAGGAAUGAAGGAGUUUGUAAAAGUAGUUAAACAUCUCCACGGAGGAAACGAAACUCUUGGACCCAACGC
rnacentral:misc_RNA from 1 species